UACGUAGGGGGCUAGCGUUGUCCGGAAUUAUUGGGCGUAAAGCGCACGUAGGCGGCUAUCUAAGUCGGAUGUGAAAUCCCUCGGCUUAACCAAGGAAGUGCACCCGAAACUGGAUAGCUUGAGUACAGAAGAGGAUCGCGGAAUUCCCGGUGUAGAGGUGAAAUUCGUAGAUAUCGGGAGGAACACCAGUGGCGAAGGCGGCGACCUGGGCCAAUACUGACGCUGAGGUGCGAAAGCGUGGGGAGCAAACAGG
rnacentral:rRNA from 1 species